rnacentral:rRNA from 1 species
GAUGAACGCUGGCGGCGUGCUUAACACAUGCAAGUCGAACGGAAAGGCUCCUGCUUGCAGGGGUACUCGAGUGGCGAACGGGUGAGUAACACGUGGGUGAUCUGCCCUGCACUUCGGGAUAAGCCUGGGAAACUGGGUCUAAUACCGGAUAGGACGAUGGUUUGGAUGCCAUUGUGGAAAGUUUUUCGGUGUGGGAUGAGCUCGCGGCCUAUCAGCUUGUUGGUGGGGUAAUGGCCUACCAAGGCGUCGACGGGUAGCCGGCCUGAGAGGGUGUACGGCCACAUUGGGACUGAGAUACGGCCCAGACUCCUACGGGAGGCAGCAGUGGGGAAUAUUGCACAAUGGGCGCAAGCCUGAUGCAGCGACGCCGCGUGGGGGAUGACGGCCUUCGGGUUGUAAACUCCUUUCGCUAGGAACGAAGCGCAAGUGACGGUACCUGGAGAAGAAGCACCGGCUAACUACGUG